rnacentral:rRNA from 1 species
UACGUAGGGUCCGAGCGUUGUCCGGAUUUAUUGGGCGUAAAGAGCUCGUAGGCGGCUUGCUAAGUCAGGUGUGAAACCUCCAGGCUCAACCUGGAGCCGCCACCUGAUACUGGUAUGGCUAGAGUCCGGUAGGGGACCACGGAAUUCCUGGUGUAGCGGUGAAAUGCGCAGAUAUCAGGAGGAACACCGGUGGCGAAGGCAGCUCGCUGGGACGGUACUGACGCUGAGACGCGAAAGCGUGGGGAGCGAACAGG